rnacentral:rRNA from 1 species
AAACUUUCAACAACGGAUCUCUUGGUUCUGGCAUCGAUGAAGAACGCAGCGAAAUGCAAUACGUAAUGUGAAUUGCAGAAUUCCGUGAAUCAUCGAAUCUUUGAACGCACAUUGCGCCCGCCAGCAUUCUGGCGGGCAUGCCUGUUCGAGCGUCAUUU